GACAGAGGGUGCAAGCGUUGCUCGGAAUCACUGGGCGUAAAGGGCGCGUAGGCGGAUCUUUAAGUCAGGGGUGAAAGCCUGAGGCUCAACCUCAGAAUUGCCUUUGAUACUGAAGAUCUUGAGUUCGGGAGAGGUGAGUGGAACUGCGAGUGUAGAGGUGAAAUUCGUAGAUAUUCGCAAGAACACCAGUGGCGAAGGCGGCUCACUGGCCCGAUACUGACGCUGAGGCACGAAAGCGUGGGGAGCAAACAGG
rnacentral:rRNA from 1 species